UUUCCACUCUGAAGCUGUUCACAGCCUCCUGCACCUCUUGCUCUGAUAAGGUGGCAUUGAGAAAAGACUCUUGUUUGGGGGGUCACGCCUGGAAGCUCCAAAUCCUUAAAAAAGAUUCUAUUUUGGCUGCCUCUCCUCACAACCCUCAGUAGCAAAAUGCAGGUCAACUCAAUCCCACCACAGGUCUUCUCAGCAAAAUGUAAUCAGCACAUAAACUGGCAGGAGAGCUGAGGUCCUCAACACCUUUGAGAAUCGUAGCUGCUAGAUAUCCGGUGUCAAGAGACUCAGUCAAAAACCAUACGUUUAAUGUCAUGUUUCAGGAUUUCUAACUAAAAAGCGUGCCUUGUUUUUAUCAAAUAACACCAUGAAGUUAAAUGAUACUCAAUAAAGUGUGAAAUUCUUCACAACAAUGUAAUCUGAGCGAAAGGCUUUUUAUUAAAGAUUGAUA